rnacentral:rRNA from 1 species
GAUAAACGCUGACAGAAUGCUUAACACAUGCAAGUCGAUGAUGGGAGCUAGCUUGCUAGAAGAAGUCAUGGCGGACGGGUGAGUAACGUGUAAAGAACUUACCAUAUAGACUGGGAUAACAGAGGGAAACUUCUGAUAAUACUGGAUAAGUUAGUAGUAGCAUUACUAAGUAAUGAAAGGUAGCAAUACGCUAUAUGAGAGCUUUGCAUCCUAUUAGCUAGUUGGUGGGGUAAAAGCCUACCAAGGCGAUGAUAGGUAGCCGGCCUGAGAGGGUGGACAGCCACAAGGGGACUGAGAUACGGCCCUUACACCUACGGGAGGCAGCAGUGGGGAAUAUUGGACAAUGGAGGCAACUCUGAUCCAGCAAUUCUGUGUGUGUGAAGAAGGUUUUAGGACUGUAAAACACUUUUAGUAGGGAAGAAAGAAAUGACGGUACCUACAGAAGAAGCGACGGCUAAAUACGUG